UGCUCGGCGCUCGGUUCUACAUAUCUGCGCCCGCCAACGCUGCUGCGUUACUAUGGGGAUGGAGCUGUGAGUGACUGCUACCAGAUCCUGGCCCCGGCCUGGCCCUCAUAGGGCCCCGCGGGGGCGCAGCCCCUAGUCGACAGGGUGACGGAUCAUUUUGAAAAAAAGCCAUUAGCUUCUGAAGAUAUUUUUACCGUAAAGGAAAAGCCAGUUCCAAAUCUACGCUGUGUAAUGAAACAUUGAUGUGUGAUGGAAGGAGUUGGAGAAAAAUGAAAACAUUGGCAUGAAGUGAUACAGAGGGGAAGACAGCUGAGCCAAAAAAAAAAUUACACAAAACUACAAUAAAGUCAAUGUUCAGACACCUAGGAAGACAUGAACUGAUAGUGAAAUGAGCAGAAACAAGAAGCAUGCCACCCUACCUCCUGACAGAUUCAGGAUGCAGAGAUGUACAAUUUUGGACAAGGGCAAUGUGGGAAUUUGUUUUGCUUCACUAUGCGUAGAUUCAAGCAAAUUUUUUUUCCCAGUGAAAGGAGAAAAAAGUGUUUUUUCAAAUAAAAUUGUUUGAAAAGUCAACACUGAGGAGCAACAAAACUUUUGUAAAAUGUACUACUAUUGCAUACCAUGAAACAAGACAUUUCUCUCCUUUUCUGUUAAAAACUCCAUUCUGAGGGGAUGCACUUUGUAAAGUUUAGGUUUUUGUGUCUCAUGCCAAAAUAAAACAUAUACUUAUUUUAGAAUGGGAGGAGAUCCUUCCAUUAAUUACCCACUGUAUACAGUCAUACAAUUGCCUUGACUAUGUUUUUGCAUUGAGUGAAAUGGGUAAAAUGUGUUUUAAAUAUUUUUUUCUUCUGGUGUUUCAUUAUAGUAGGGAAGUAAUGCUGGGUGCUUAGCAUUUAUGCCUUUCAGAGUCUAAACUUUGACAGGGACAGAUCCAAGUGGAAAACACUUUAGGGACAUGGCAAACAGACUUUCUGCCUGUUGUCCAAGGCCCUUCUUGGUGAAAUUCAGAGCAGCUUAAGUUCACCAGGUUGUCAAUAUUUCAAACACAGCAAUUCACAAAACUAUCUGAGAAGGCCCAGAGAAGUGGAGAGCUGCAUUAGUGAAUAGAGUAGCCCACACUAACAAGGUUUCAGACCCUUGAAAUACUGAGGAGCAUGUGAAACAGAAGAAGCUAGAAUAAAGGAAGAAACACAAGAAUUUUUUUUUGUUGCUGUUUAUUAUGAAAACAAAACAAAUGCCCCAAGGAGAAGGGUCCAUGAUUACCAGGAACAUCAAAGAGUACUUGCUACCUUUUUUUAAAUUUUAUUCAGUUGUGUUGAGGCCAGCAUUGCAAUAAACAAGCUAAAACUACUUUACAUUGACUCAUUUUCAGUAACUGACAUUUACAGGAAUAUACUAGAAACGGCACUAAAAAGUUUAAGAAAAGAGUUACGGUAAACUUGCAUGCACAUCAUACAGAAAAGUAACAUUUUAAAUAUAAAAAAGAAAGACUUUCUGGAAGUGUUAUGCCAGUAUCACGGAAUAGCGCUAAAACAGUACGUGUCAAAUCCCACAUUGUUGAUUUUGUAUUUUUUUUCUCCAAACAAUUGUAAAAGAUGUAAAUGCUGUAAAAAUGUAUCUUUACAGUUUAAAAUUAAGAUAAUGCUGCCCAAUGUGAGGAAUUUUCUCUAAGUAAAUUAUGAAUUCUAUAUAAGGUCUGCCCCACAGCCUCUAUGGUUUUAUUUAUAUUUUAGAAUUAGUUUUUAUGUCCUUUUUUGACCCCUUAUUAAAAAGAUUUUUCUAGUGCCUCCCUGACCCCCAUCCUGCUUUUAAAAAUAUUUUCUUUCCCCAAAAGUGAACAUUUUAAACUGGUCUACAGUUUUCAGUACUAGACUGAUUCUAAUUAGAUAACUGCAGUCUUCCUUACCACAGAGGAAAUGGUAAAUAACCCACAACCUGAUACUGGGUAUCUCUCCUCUUCCCCUCUCUCCCUCCCUCACAAAAAAAAAAGUGAAUGGAAAUCAGUUUUUCAGUUUGAAACAGUGUAGACAGAAAGUUUUAAAACCAUAGCACCAUGAAAUUCAAAUUGUUUGUAUAGACUAUGCCAUGAGUCAAAGACAAAGUCAACAGAUUCUUUCUGGAUAAAGGAAUAAAUGUCAUUAGCUUAGAAGAGAUCCCUGUCCUCUCAAAACACAUUGAUAAUGAAAUGUUUUAAAAUGAUUCACCUCAUUUUUUCACACAAGUGAAACUUUUUCCAUUCCUUAUUAGUGACUGAAGCCACAAAAGGAAGACUCAUAAGAAGUCAUUAUUCUUAUCUCUUGGCAUUAAUUUUGCAAUAUAUAUUCCACUUUAGAAUGUUUGAUUUGUUCUAUAAUAGAUGUUACAAAUAAUACCAUAAUUAAGACUUAUUUGUCCAUUCAUUCUCUCGAAGUAAUAGUUUAAAUACAGCCUUUAAAUCUUUUUAUAAAAUAUCUUUUAAAAUCAGGGUAAAAUUGUAAAAUGGUAAACUAAAAACUAUUUCUAGAACAACAAAGAUGAGUAAAAGUUUUAGUAAACUGGCUCAGUACUCCCUUUUGCAUGUUAAGUUUUUCUAAAAGCAAAAAACAAAACAAAAACCCAGUAAUUAAACAACUGAUAUUCCUUCAUCCAUUUCCUCAUCACAAUAUGACAGAACUUAAGAGUAGGUGGUAGAGUCAGAGGAGAUUUAAAAAAACAAAGUUUUCCCUACUAAAUUAAUAUAUCAUUCACAAAGAUUCUAUUGAAAUGCUGGUGGGUAGUAUCAUCUAGAGAUUCAUGAAAAGAUAGUCCAAACAUUGAAUGUCACUAUGUCAAUUCCCAUCCAAUACUCAAUUCAUUGAUUUUAUUACAUGAAGUUAAGUGAAAAUUAGGCUUUGAUACAGUAACUUUUGCGCUAAAGUGUAAAACAAUGGAGCAGGGAGCCUAAAGAGGCAUAUGAAGGAGCCCAGAGACAACGACCUCCAAACAGAGAGGAAGCACUUGUGGAGAGCCUAGGUCUCCAAGGGGCAGGACAUUCCUGCCUCUAUUGCUACAAGCCUGGGCCUUAUAGCCUCUGGGGGUCAUACCAUCAUGCCAAAGGCCAAGGACUACAAUUUUUAUACAAAGUGGGCAUGAUCAUUUCAUUCUUGGCCCUUUGCCAAUCAAUGCCUGACCCUCAUCUGGACAAAUUGGGGCAUCCCUGUGCUAAAGGCUGUGUGGCAGCCUGCUGGAAAGACAAAAACAAAACAUAACCUUCUGUUAAACUCUGUAUAUUAUUAUUAUUAUUUUUUACAAUAAAAAGUUAAAAAUCAUGACUUCGAUUUACUAUACAUUUUUUUCUCAGAUUACAAAGUUUAUAUUAUAUAACUGGGGGUUCCCUAAAUUGAUUUAUUUUAAAACUGUCCUAAAGAGACCUGUGGCAAAUACAAAAAAAAAAAGAAGAAAGAAAAA